GAUGAACGCUGGCGGCGUGCCUAAUACAUGCAAGUCGAGCGAACGGACGAGAAGCUUGCUUCUCUGAUGUUAGCGGCGGACGGGUGAGUAACACGUGGAUAACCUACCUAUAAGACUGGGAUAACUUCGGGAAACCGGAGCUAAUACCGGAUAAUAUUUUGAACCGCAUGGUUCAAAAGUGAAAGACGGUCUUGCUGUCACUUAUAGAUGGAUCCGCGCUGCAUUAGCUAGUUGGUAAGGUAACGGCUCACCAAGGCAACGAUGCAUAGCCGACCUGAGAGGGUGAUCGGCCACACUGGAACUGAGACACGGUCCAGACUCCUACGGGAGGCAGCAGUAGGGAAUCUUCCGCAAUGGGCGAAAGCCUGACGGAGCAACGCCGCGUGAGUGAUGAAGGUCUUCGGAUCGUAAAACUCUGUUAUUAGGGAAGAACAUAUGUGUAAGUAACUGUGCACAUCUUGACGGUACCUAAUCAGAAAGCCACGGCUAACUACGUGCCAGCAGCCGCGGUAAUACGUAGGUGGCAAGCGUUAUCCGGAAUUAUUGGGCGUAAAGCGCGCGUAGGCGGUUUUUUAAGUCUGAUGUGAAAGCCCACGGCUCAACCGUGGAGGGUCAUUGGAAACUGGAAAACUUGAGUGCAGAAGAGGAAAGUGGAAUUCCAUGUGUAGCGGUGAAAUGCGCAGAGAUAUGGAGGAACACCAGUGGCGAAGGCGACUUUCUGGUCUGUAACUGACGCUGAUGUGCGAAAGCGUGGGGAUCAAACAGGAUUAGAUACCCUGGUAGUCCACGCCGUAAACGAUGAGUGCUAAGUGUUAGGGGGUUUCCGCCCCUUAGUGCUGCAGCUAACGCAUUAAGCACUCCGCCUGGGGAGUACGACCGCAAGGUUGAAACUCAAAGGAAUUGACGGGGACCCGCACAAGCGGUGGAGCAUGUGGUUUAAUUCGAAGCAACGCGAAGAACCUUACCAAAUCUUGACAUCCUUUGACAACUCUAGAGAUAGAGCCUUCCCCUUCGGGGGGGCAAAGUGACAGGUGGUGCAUGGUUGUCGUCAGCUCGUGUCGUGAGAUGUUGGGUUAAGUCCCGCAACGAGCGCAACCCUUAAGCUUAGUUGCCAUCAUUAAGUUGGGCACUCUAAGUUGACUGCCGGUGACAAACCGGAGGAAGGUGGGGAUGACGUCAAAUCAUCAUGCCCCUUAUGAUUUGGGCUACACACGUGCUACAAUGGACAAUACAAAGGGCAGCGAAACCGCGAGGUCAAGCAAAUCCCAUAAAGUUGUUCUCAGUUCGGAUUGUAGUCUGCAACUCGACUACAUGAAGCUGGAAUCGCUAGUAAUCGUAGAUCAGCAUGCUACGGUGAAUACGUUCCCGGGUCU
rnacentral:rRNA from 1 species